UUUUUUUUUGCCUUAAACAUGUGGGAAGUAUUUAUGAUUGGUAUCUGCAGGGACACAAAGGAGAAGAGAAAAAGCAUCAAUCUGGGUCCCUUCUGUUUUCAGACAUCUCUGCUGAUCAUUGAAGCCCUAUGUGAAUGUCUUGAACACUCUUGGACAUCCCAGGCAGAACUAGCCUAUCAACCUUCAUGUGGACAACUGGAUCAGCCUUAGGCCCCUACACAACUGCUCAUGCCAUACCUGGAAAUCAGAUGCAUUAUUCUGCGGACUGACACUGAAAGAAGAACCUUUGAAUGAAGUUGAAUUCACAGAAGAUACUCCAAGUGCAAGAUUGCGUGUUGAAAUACUCAUGGAUGGUCCUGUGAAUUGGAUCUUUAAAGCCAAGGCGUCAAUAGUUUUAAGAGCUCUGAAAACAGAAACAAAAUUAUUUUAUUCUAUUCUAUAUGCUCUGCAUGUAUUCUCUUCACCUUAAGGCAAUCCUCUUAUGUUUCUGUCACCCGCCUUUGUAUUCACAAAAUUCAGGCUGUAAAUAUAUGUGUAUCUUUUGAAUGCAGAAGGUUUUGAUAGAAUUUGUCUGAUUUACAUUUCACUGGUCCUGAAAUUAUCUUCUGACAGCACCUAAAUAGAUGCUGUGUCAUUCAUCAGCAGUCUUCUUUUCCAUUAAAAUAUUUUGUCAUGUACAUUAAUUUUAUUACAAGAAAAAAUAUCUGCUUAUCUCAUUUGGAAUUUCUUUUCAUGGAAAUCAGAAAAAAUUGAUUUCUUUUAUGGUAUUUAUAUGGAAGAAUGAAUCAAUUUCCUAAAUUUUCUUAAAAGCAAAUGUAGAAAUACUUACUCUGAAGAUGAUGCUGCCAAUACACUGUCUGAACUGUUUAGAAUAUUGGAAAAAAUUGUCACCACGGUAGAACCAAGAGAUUCAUCAAUUUCUUCAUCGUUCACAAUUUUUUUGAGUUUCUGGACAACAUCGUUUACUUUGUCUGAGGUAAGCUGUUGACCUUCACCGGUGAGAUUCAGAAGCUGAUUGGCAAUAUCAGCUGCAUUUUCUGUCAAAGCAAAAAUAAUAAAUAAUCUGUAUUGAUCCUGAGGUAAUUUAGAAAUACAAUUUUUUAUCCUCAUUACUGAAAGAGCAUCUUCUGUGGUACUUGUAAUAAACAUGAAAUUGUAUUAUUUUACCACAUUCAUGUUUUUGUUUAAAGCAUAUAUAACCUGCUAAUUCUUAUAUACUGUCCUUGUUGGUUGUGUCUUGCUUUACAUUAAUUUGAUCUGAGUUUGAUCAGAGCAGCUACUGAAAGGGCUGAUUGAUAGAAAGGGGGAGUAAGAAAUAAAAGCAUAUUUUCUUUUU